rnacentral:rRNA from 1 species
UGAGGAAUAUUGGUCAAUGGGCGGGAGCCUGAACCAGCCAAGUCGCGUGAGGGAAGACGGUCCUAAGGAUUGUAAACCUCUUUUGUCGGGGAGCAAGCAGGCCACGUGUGGCCGACCGAGAGUACCCGAAGAAAAAGCAUCGGCUAACUCCGUGCCAGCAGCCGCGGUAAUACGGAGGAUGCGAGCGUUAUCCGGAUUUAUUGGGUUUAAAGGGUGCGUAGGCGGACCUUUAAGUCAGCGGUAAAAUUGAGAGGCUCAACCUCUUCGAGCCGUUGAAACUGGGGGUCUUGAGUGAGCGAGAAGUACGCGGAAUGCGUGGUGUAGCGGUGAAAUGCAUAGAUAUCACGCAGAACUCCGAUUGCGAAGGCAGCGUACCGGCGCUCAACUGACGCUGAAGCACGAAAGCGUGGGUAUCGAACAGG